GAAGUCGUUCAGCAGUUUCUGUGUGUAUUGCCAACGUGUCAGGUUGCUUAUUUUAGCGUCUUGCAGGUUCACAUCAGGCACAGUUACAGGGGGUUCA